AUACGCAAUAUUCAUGGAAACUAAUUGUGUCAGAUAUUCCACAUUAUGAAUUUAAUUUUUUGCAAUUUUUAGAGCUAUUUUUCAAUCAUAUAGGAACAUACGACAUAUUCAAACCUAAAUCGUUCAUACGUCUGAACACAUUCGUCGUUUGGAGGGGAAAUUUGUUUCAUUCGUCUCUUCUCUUUCGUCCUUUGAUUCGUUCAACUUGCACAUACGUCCAAAUGUUUCUCAUGUAAAUACUAUGGAAAAUUUUCAAUUUUCUCGGCGUAGUGGCUGUUUAAUAAGUGGUGUAGCGGUAAAUUGGUGAGUAAAUGCAUAAUUAAAUGUGUGAAUCGGGUGCGACAUCGAUCAAACCAACUCGCUGCUGCUGAUCAUGCUUUCUGUUGCCGAUCAGCUGGAGGGGAAAUUUGUCUCAUUCGUCCUUUGAUUCUUUGAACUUGCACUUACGCCCAAAUGUUUCUGAGGCAAUUACCGGUAAGUUUUCAAUUUUUUUGACAUAGUGAAUGUUAACUUAGUGAGUUAUCGAGUGUAGCGGUAAAUUUAUUGAAUGCGUAAUAAAAGUGUGAAUCGGGUGAUUGUGUGACUAACAGCAGCAGGCUGCUGCCGAUCAGUUGUUGGGUUUGCUGCUACUGCUGCUGUACGGUUUCUUUUCCUUGCUGCAUUAUUGUACAGCGUUCGAAAGCCUUGAGUAUCGAUUUAAGAAUGCCUGAAAACAAGAAUCUGAAAUAAUAUUGCCAGGUUGAUAUUCUGAUUACCUCUACCUGUAUACACUGUUUGCUCAUGGAAUCCAUAGCGAAUGUGCUAGGUUUUUCUUCCUCUGCACAUUCGCCGUUUGGAAGAAGGGACGUAAGCAACAUUGAAAUGGGCAAGCAAGGUUUUGUUUCAUUCGUCAUUUUGAAAGUCUUAAAUUUUAUACAUUAAAAGGGUUUAAAUUGAUUGUUUUAUCAAUCAUAUAGGUAGAUAAUGUUAUAAUGAAGCCUUUUUAGUGAAUAUCUCAGUUUUUCAAAUUUUGUUUCAUUCGACGUAAUGAAAGCUCACGCGAGAUAUGUUUUCGAGUAUAUCUGUCUUUGAAAAUCGAAUAAGCAUGAAGGAGUUUCUAAAAGUGCGCCAAGUGAGAGCUCCGCUUCCAGUUCGCGAUAAAUACGGGAAAAGAUCUGCCGGUUCAUCGUCGAAGUCACUUCAAUAUUGUAAUGAAGAAGCCUAGAAUGACGCUCCCGGUUGUGGUUCCGGCUAAAGAGUAUCGAGAAUAUUCAUCCGGAUGUGGCAUCUUUUCAUUCGUACAUAAUGAAAACCCGAAUGAUGGCGGAGAAGACCCGGAUGAAGAAGCUACACCCAAACACGGUCGAGUAGAAAAUCCGGUUUGGGAAAAGCACAUUCAAACUUGCCUUCACAUUUCAUCGGAAUCUCGCACAUAGGCGAUAAUAUUCAAGACAAAUGGUUCAUAGUAUCGCGGCUGUUUCUUCUGACGCGUUCCGGGUUGGGAACAAAAGUGCCUGAUUUUUAUGGUGAGUUUUUGCUGAUCAAAGCAGUCGAAAAUCUGCCUCGGACAGAUCCGGAAAGCUGUGAGGGGCUAGUUUUCAUCGAGGAUGCUGUUAGUGGGAACCGGUGAGGAGGCAGAAAAGCCAGCAAUUGAGCUAAACACGGUGCUAGCAUAGCUAAGAAAUGGUUCAGGCCAAGUCAACUGGACAGUCUCAGAUGGUAAAAGAAGCUGCAGUCAGAUCGGAUUAAAGAUGUUCCCGAAAAAAUUGUCGAAAACCAUAAACGCGAAACUUAAAAUUUUCCUGUAGGUGUGGCGGCAGCUUUAAAGGAAAAUCACGAAAAUCACAGAUUAAAAUCACCAAACUAUGUGCAAUUUCCCCAUCAGCCCAACCUCCAAAAAUUUAAUUUAAUUAAAAUAAGAAGCAAUUUCUUCAAUACUUCUAAAAUCUCUUUUCUUUUCAUUUGAAAAUCCCAAACAUUAAACACAAGAAAAAAUAACCCUAUAUGACGCUUUAAUUCCACAUAGCGCUGAGGUUGAAAAAUAACCAUUUUUCAACUUCUCCGAAGAAAUUUCAUUCGGUUGAAAAAUAACCAUAUUCGAACUUCUCCCCGAAAAG